UACGUAGGUGGCUAGCGUUGUCCGGAUUUACUGGGCGUAAAGAGCGCGCAGGCGGUCGUUCAAGUCGAGUGUGAAAGCCCCCGGCUCAACUGGGGAGGGUUACUCGAUACUGAUCGACUCGAAGGCAGGAGAGGGAAGCGGAAUUCCCGGUGUAGUGGUGAAAUGCGUAGAUAUCGGGAGGAACACCAGUGGCGAAGGCGGCUUUCUGGCCUGCUCUUGACGCUGAGGCGCGAAAGCUGGGGUAGCAAACGGG
rnacentral:rRNA from 1 species